rnacentral:rRNA from 1 species
UACAGAGGGUGCGAGCGUUGUUCGGAAUUAUUGGGCGUAAAGGCGCGUAGGCGGUGCGGUAAGUCACCUGUGAAAUCUCCUGGCUCAACUGGGAGGGUGCGCCGGAAACUGGAGUGCUUGAGCGUGGGAGAGGAAAGCGGAAUUCCUGGUGUAGCGGUGAAAUGCGUAGAUAUCAGGAGGAACACCGGUGGCGAAGGCGGUGGUCUGGGCCGGCACUGACGCUGAGGAGCGAAAGCGUGGGUAGCAAACAGG